rnacentral:lncRNA from 1 species
UCCUUAGAAAUCCUCGUUGGAUACAUUCAUCGGCUACUAGCCGAUGAGUAGAAGUGAACUAUAAUAAGCAUCAUUUGGAUGUUCGGCUCUUUCUAUACAUAUGUGGACCUCGACUGUAUACAUUAUCUGUAUAUCCUGCUCCUAUGAGAGAGCCCUUAUUGCUAUGGUCCCAAUUCAGAUCCCUUGGAGUCGAGAGAAAGUGGACU